AAUGCAGGGGAUGAUGUUUUCUUGUGUGAAUAUGAAUAUGACAUUCAUUGGCACACUUUCAAACGACUAGCUGAGAUU